rnacentral:rRNA from 1 species
UAGGGAAUCUUCCACAAUGGACGCAAGUCUGAUGGAGCAACGCCGCGUGAGUGAAGAAGGCUUUCGGGUCGUAAAACUCUGUUGUUGGAGAAGAAUGGUCGGCAGAGUAACUGUUGUCGGCGUGACGGUAUCCAACCAGAAAGCCACGGGCUAACUACGUGCCAGCAGCCGCGGUAAUACGUAGGUGGCAAGCGUUAUCCGGAUUAUUGGGCGUAAAGCGAGCGCAGGCGGUUUUUUAAGUCUGAUGUGAAAGCCCUCGGCUUAACCGAGGAAGCGCAUCGGAAACUGG